UGAUAGUGACGCCUGCAGAUGAUCCAAACACCUGAGCCCAGGCACCAGACUCGCGAAUGCAGGAGCCUAGACCAUCUGACUAGGGCGACAAGCCCCAGCCACCAUCGGGCUAUGAGGACCACUGGGGUCGCUCUAGUUGACUCCCAGAACUGAGAGGUUGCACAAGGCAUGGUUUUAAGUCCCGAAGCCGGGGGCCGGUUAGUCACACAGGGAUGGAUGGGUGGAACCAUGAACGAGCCUGGAUGCCUUCCGGGAUGCUGACACUCCACAACGGAACAUGGCUUAGUCUUAUUUUCAGUUUUUGUCACAACAUGUAUCAUGGCCUGAGCUUGCAGGAACGGAAGAUCCAGACCAGCCUGAGAUGAGCAAAAAGGAGCUGAGAUCACGCCCCUCGAGGGUCAUGAGCUUCCUGUGUCCACGACUCCAGCAGCAGCCCAUUCCACUGUGGUCUCAAGACCAGGAAGACCAGAAGCUUCCCUCUGUGAGCUCAUCACUCACCAGGCAACACACCCACCUCACCCAUCAGGCCCUCCCAAUAAACCCAGGAAGUUCUAACUUCCCCCUUUUACAGAUGAAGAAACAGGGGCACAAGCCACAUAGCUGGUACUCUGGCCUGACUCCAAAAAGCCAUCCCCCACGCCACCUGGCAUGAGAUGGCUUUCUGGUUCCCAUGCAGGGAGCAUUGGACUCAACGCCAGAGGGUCAACAUGUGCGGGGUCCCGGGCAGUGAGAAUGUCUUCCAUUCUAGACGAGGGAGGGCCAGAGAAUCCACAAGUAACAACAGAACACAAGGAAAGGACAGAUCAAACCAUGGGAAGCACAACAUGGACGAUAACAGGGUUAUCACCUCAUCCGAUCAUGAUGGUCUUACUGAUUAUAGCUCAGGGGCUUCACAAGAUGGACGGUGGGGAAGGAUCGAGGACCUACUUCUAGAUGCUUCCAUCCCAACCAAGAGAUAACUUGGGAACGAAGAACAGUACAAAA